UUAAAAAUAAUGAAAAAUUACUAUAAUGCUUGUUUAAAGUAAUUCUGAUGUUCAUGCGACAAUAAUGAAAUCCUUCCAGAGGGGCGCGUGUCGCUAUUCGGCUUGUCCCGGAAUAACACGAGUGGGUCACGAAUGUGUGGAUUUGCGUCAUUCGUAACUACUCGCCUCUUUCCGUGACCUACACCCGGAAUGACACGAGUAGUUAGGAAUGUGGACUUGUCAGACUUACUUCCGGGGUCAGUAGAUGUCUUCGGGAGUUACGCCAUUCUCACUCGCGAUAUCUAUCACCGAUUGCUUGGAUUUGAUGAGUGCAUCAAGCUAAACCUAUACGAUCGGAACAAAAGAUUUGAUCGGAUCAAGGAGUACGAUGUGCGUCUCGUUCUGUCGCCUUAUAUUUUCAGGGCGAUAUAGCGAUGACCCUAAUCAGCCACCAUACUGAAGGAUGUGGGAAUUUUAUUUUCCUGGUAUCAAUGCUUUAGGGGAGAACACGUUUGAUUUGAUGUGGGAUUAUUACAUUUCAAUGACUGAAGAUGUAAGUGGCGGGACAGAGUCAUGGAUUUCACACAACACCUGGUAUGGCCACAGUGACUACCGUGUAUCUGACGCCUGAGACCCACGAAGAGGCCACGUAGAGGCCGAAACCACGCCCCGUGAUUGCGAAAUGUAUCUUCACACAUAAUGGGGACGCUGUCAAAAGCUCCCGACGAAAACUCAAAGGCAGGCCAUUUCCAUGUAUGGAACAGCACCAAGAACUUGGUCUUAAUGCCACUGUUGAGGGAAGCGAGCUCUUAGAACAUCUAAGUGUUUAUAUCGGUUGACAAACUAUGCGAAGAAAACGUCCUCCAAAUGUUGCCUGGACCACCCCCUUACAACAACUCACAACAGAGCCCUGAUAACCACAGCAGGAACGAGGCUCAAGCAGGAAAUCGUCAUUGGACAUGUAUCAAAUACGACGCCAUAUGAAACCCGUGUACGGAUGUAAACUGGAUUAUUCAUCUGAAAGACUCGAAGGAUGAACAUACUGAGACAGUUUCUGGCAAUGGUUAUACUGAGAACAAUCGGCCUUUCAGAAGGCUAAACAUGCGAGUUUUUGUAAAGAUAUUACAACAAGAACUGUGAAUGAAUUUCAUCACUGUGAACAAUAUCUGGACUAUGACAUUCUCAGAAAAUAAACCUGUGAGUACUCCUAUAUAUUGCCAAAAGCUGAAAACCUAUCAUUGCCGGUAUCAUAGAACUAGCUUGUAAUUACGCUACUCCACGCGGAUGGAUGUUAUGAAAUAUAACUGUGACACUGUACAAUGGGCGAGUAACGUUUUUAUCAUCCCGAGUUCAAUAUCGAAAUAAAAGGCGUAUUAUAUUAAUUAUAAA